GAUGAGGGAAGUUACCUUUUCCAGGAGCUCAGUGCAACCUGUAGAUCUAUGCCAAAGUCAAAGAACUACCAUUCGGUGCCAUCUCUCUUAUACUCCUCCUGCUUAGAAUGAACAUGUGGUGACUGAAGAACUGCUGCAGUUCUCGUUGGUGAAGUUGAUACACAUCUGCUUGAAGCUGUUGAACUGCAGAGAAGAACAGGCUGGUUGUGUAAGGCAUUUGCUGACCUGCCUUUGAGAUGUGUCCCUCAGCUCUAAACAGAAAAACUCAGCUGCUGGUGGCAGGAAAUAAACUGCAGGGAAAUCCCACCUGGCUGAGGAUCCCUCAGGCUGCUCUACAGCCCUCUUCUCUCAAGGAUCUCCAUGCUUUCUGCAAAUACCAUGAUUGUUCCUCCCACUGAUAUUUAUUUUGGUUUCCAGACCACCUGCGAGCCCCCAGAGCAGUGUGUGAGGGUAAAUUCACAGCAGCCACAGAUCAGUAUCACCCUCUGUUUUAUGAAUGGAGAAAAAAAAAAUGCAGGGAGUUCAUCUGAAGCAUUGACAAGGCAGAGUGAAACAGAGAACUCAGAUGUCCAGGCACUUUGCCAUCUGCUUUAAACAAAUGAGAGACAGGCAAAGAAAAGGGGCUUGGACAUGAGCUGUCACUGAAGGAUUUAAGUCAUACCUGUGCUCCCCGCAAUUUACAGCAGCAGUUCAAUAGGAGCCUGCAACAGAAGGAUCAAGCGCUGUCAAGUCAGAGACAGAAGCCUCAGUGACGACAGCCCCAAGCAAUGCGUCGUGCCAGCCUUGUGAGUCAUGCUGUCUGCGCAGGUGUUGGAGGAGUCAGUCUGGGGUGAGGUUUCCUUUUGCAAAAGGACUGCUCCGAAUAGCUGUUGUAGCUGUACAACCUCAUGCGAUGGAGCCAGGACUAUGCCUGCAUCAUCUAACCCCGCUGCAGAGAAACUACACAUUGGCGUCUUUCCUGACCAGUACCUUUCACUGCACACGGUGACGCAGGUGGAGGCUUUCAGCUGGCAACUUGAUCAAAUCUG
rnacentral:lncRNA from 1 species